rnacentral:rRNA from 1 species
GAUGAACGCUAGCGGCGGGCUUAAUACAUGCAAGUCAAGGGGUAGCAAUACACCGGCGUACGGGUGCGUAACGCGUAUGGAACCUGCCCUUAUCUGGGGGAUAACGCGGGGAAACCCGAGCUAAUACCGCAUAAGAUAGUAAAGAGGCAUCUCUUAGCUAUUAAAGAUUUAUCGGAUAAGGAUGGCCAUGCGUAAGAUUAGAUAGUUGGCGAGGUAACGGCUCACCAAGUCUACGAUCUUUAGGGGCUCUGAGAGGAGAAUCCCCCACACUGGCACUGAGAUACGGGCCAGACUCCUACGGGAGGCAGCAGUAGGGAAUAUUGGGCAAUGGGCGGAAGCCUGACCCAGCCACGCCGCGUGCAGGAAGACGGCCCUCUGGGUUGUAAACUGCUUUUAACUGGGAAGAAAGCAGCUCAUGCGUGAGAAUUUGACGGUACCAGUUGAAUAAGCCACGGCUAACUACGUGCCAGCAGCCGCCGCGGUAA